GCCUUCGUGGUAUAGUGGUCAGCACACUCGGCGCGUAUUCGAGAGGUCCGUGGUUCGAGUCCUGGUGAGGGCA
rnacentral:tRNA from 1 species